UGGGGAGCCUGCCCCAUAGUCUGGGAUACCACUUGGAAACAGGUGCUAAUACCGGAUAAGAAAGCGGAUCGCAUGAUCAGCUUUUAAAAGGCGGCGUAAGCUGUCGCUAUGGGAUGGCCCCGCGGUGCAUUAGCUAGUUGGUAAGGUAAAGGCUUACCAAGGCGAUGAUGCAUAGCCGAGUUGAGAGACUGAUCGGCCACAUUGGACUGAGACACGGCCCAAACUCCUACGGGAGGCAGCAGAA
rnacentral:rRNA from 1 species